UAUCAAGCUACAUUGCUUAUGGUGCUAUUGGUAUAUGUUGCAUGCAAAUGAAAUUUUAUACAAUACCACAUACCAGAUACCUUGAGGAUUUGGAAGAAUCUGUAAAUUCUGGAGAUACUCCAAUAUUAUUAACAAUGAGAAGAGACAAACAAAAACACAAAUCAAAACAGUGACGCAUAAAAAAACUUCCAACAAUUUCACUACAAUAUACAGAAAAAAACAUGUCGGAAAAGAAAGGAGAA
rnacentral:misc_RNA from 1 species